CAGCCACCUCCAUCUUCGCGCUGAAGGAGAUCCAGCUGCAGAAGGAGCCGGGGCUGCGCGCGGCCCCCCUGCCCCCCCCAGGUUCUUCCGCCUUCCGGGUGCUCGACACUGAAUUCUGAUGCUGAGCAGCCCCUGGACUGCUGCUGCAACCCCCCAGGACCCCCCAAAACUGGGGGGGGUUGCCACAAAACUGGGGGGUGACCCCCAAGUUAAGGGGUCACCCCAGAACUACAGGAGGGCCCCCUGGACCGGUAACCACGGCCCCCCAAAAGACCCCCUGAGGAACCGCUGCUGGAUUUGGGGGGCGUCACGUGGGACCCCCCCAUUGGAGGGGGGUUUGGGGUCCCCCCUAUUUUUUUGGGGAGUUCCCUUGAGACUGGGGUUUCUUCCCCCCAAUUUACUUCGAGUUUUAUUUUUUCAAGGCAAUAUUAUAAAUAAGAGUCUAUAUGGGUCCCUCCCCCCAAGGGGCGGGGCUCAGAGGGGGUGGGGCACAGCAGGGCGGGGCCUGGCAGGGGCAGGGCCACCCUGGGAGCAGUUUUGGGGCGGGGGGCGGGGAGGGUGAGUCACGGUGCCCUUCUGUGCUUACUCUGAGGUUACUUACACUCAACUCCAGGGUUACCCUGUUGUUAUUUGGGGCCUCGGCGUCUCCCAGGAGGUUCCCCAGGGUGGGGGGGCUUCCUCUGAGGUUGGUCCCACUUCACUCCAGGGUUACCCCAGGGUUACUCAGGCCCAACUCUGACUUUACUCCAAGGCAGCUCAGGCCCAGCUCUGCGGCCAUAUCUGCCCUACUCCAGCCUUACUUCACGACUCCUCAGCCUCUCCUUGCUCACUGCUGUGGUGUUACUCACUUUCUACUCUUGAUUACUCAGAUGUUACUCAGCUGGGGCUCCCCUCCCUCCCCUGGGUUGCUCGUGGAGAUCAUUACUCUGAGCCUUCUUGGCCCUUA